rnacentral:rRNA from 1 species
AUUGAACGCUGGCGGCAUGCUUUACACAUGCAAGUCGAACGGCAGCGCGGGCUUCGGCCUGGCGGCGAGUGGCGAACGGGGGAGUAAUGCAUCUGAACGUGCCCAGUAGUGGGGGAUAGCGCGGCGAAAGCCGGAUUAAUACCGCAUACGACCUGAUGGUGAAAUCGGGGGAGCGAAAGUCCUCUCGCUAUGUGAGCGGCCGAUGUCGGUUUCGCGGGGUGGUGGGGUAAAUGCUUACCAAGGCGACGAUGCUUAGCUGGGCUGAGAGGACGACCAGACACACUGGGAGUGAGACAGGGCCCAGACUCCUGCGGGAGGACGCAGUGGGGAAUUUUGGACAAUGGGGGAAACCCUGAUCCAGCCCUGCCGCGUGCGGGAAGAAGGCCUUCGGGUUGUAAACCGCUUUUGUCCGGGAAGAAAUCCUCUGGGCUAAUACCCCGGGGGGAUGACGGUACCGGAAGAAUAAGCACCGGCUAACUCCGUG